rnacentral:rRNA from 1 species
UAACCUGCCCAAGAGACUGGGAUAACACCUGGAAACAGAUGCUAAUACCGGAUAACAACACUAGACGCAUGUCAAGAGUUUAAAAGAUGGUUCUGCUAUCACUCUUGGAUGGACCUGCGGUGCAUUAGCUAGUUGGUAAGGUAACGGCUUACCAAGGCAAUGAUGCAUAGCCGAGUUGAGAGACUGAUCGGCCACAUUGGGACUGAGACACGGCCCAAACUCCUACGGGAGGCAGCAG